UACGUAGGGAGCAAGCGUUGUCCGGAAUCAUUGGGCGUAAAGCGCGCGUAGGUGGCUUCGUAAGUCCGUUGUGAAAGUCAAAGGCUCAACCUUUGAAAGCCGAUGGAUACUGCGGAGCUAGAGUGCGGAAGAGGCGAGUGGAAUUCCUGGUGUAGCGGUGGAAUGCGCAGAUAUCAGGAGGAACACCAAUAGCGAAGGCAGCUCGCUGGGACGUUACUGACACUGAGGCGCGAAAGCGUGGGGAGCGAACAGG
rnacentral:rRNA from 1 species